CUGGCUUCAGCCACCACCUUGCUCCUGAAUAACAGGAGCCAGUCUGCACAGAUGGCCGGGUAGGAGCAGCUCUGAAGCUUCCCAUCCAACAUGACGCUCGCACCCUCUGGACGGGCUCCCCUGUGGGAGGGGAGAAAGGCCUGCACCCCAGCAAGGACCAGACCACAGAGCUACCACGGGGCAUCCUGACCGAGGUCUCCCUUCAUGUCACCCCAAACAGACAGGUCAUCCAGAAAGAAACAGUCCACAGCGCUUCACCUCAGACUGCAGAGCAGGGUGGGGCCACACUCUGGAAUCGGGCUUGAAUCCUCUCUACCACUUGCUGAGACAAGAGUACCUGCUUAAGGGGCUUCCACUGGAUGAUCUCAAAGUACUCCGAACUUUGUCUGGUUUCGGCUGCUACUGUCCCCAUCACACACACGGUGAAAUUGAGCCCCAUCUGCUAAUGUCACAGAGUGGCCACGGCAGGAAGGGACCGGAGUUGGUGGCCCGCCUCACCUCUGACACUCAGACUACAGGGGAUCCAAGAAUGGAAAAAUACAAAACCAGGAUUCUUGCAGAUAUCUUCUCGGGUGGGCAAUUCUGCCAGAAGCCUCUACCCAGAAGUUCCUCGAUGAGGGGCUAAAAGUUCACCCACCACCCUUGGCUUCCCUCAUGUAUGCUGCAGGGACCACCGGCAGCUGUUCCUGCACUGGCUUCUUUCCUACGUGAAAAAGAGAACUCAAGGCCUUGAUGAACAUUUCUUCAA